UACGUAGGGUGCAAGCGUUAAUCGGAAUUACUGGGCGUAAAGCGUGCGCAGGCGGCUUUGCAAGUCAGAUGUGAAAUCCCCGGGCUCAACCCCGGAACGGCAUCCGAUACUGUGUGGCUUGAGACCGGGAGAGGAGGGUGGAAUACCGAGUGUAGAGGUGAAAUUCGUAGAUAUUCGGAAGAACACCAGUGGCGAAGGCGGCUCACUGGACCGGUAUUGACGCUGAGGUGCGAAAGCGUGGGGAGCAAACAGG
rnacentral:rRNA from 1 species